rnacentral:rRNA from 1 species
AACGAACGCUGGCGGCCGGCCUAAUACAUGCAAGUAGAACGCAGGUGCGAACGGGUGAGUAACGCGUGGGUAACUGCAUAAUAGCGGGGGAUAACACUUGGAAACGAAAGCUAAUACCGCAUACUGUGAGAUGGAACUGCGUUGUAUUAGGUAGUGGGGUAGGUAAAGGCUCAACAAGGCGACGAUACAUAGCCGACCUGAGAGGUGGAUCGGACACACUGGGAAUGAGACACGGCCCCGACUCCUACGGGAGGCAGCAGUAGGUAAUCUUCGGCAAUGGACGGAAGUCUGACCGAGCACAGCCGCGUGAUUGAAGGAGGUGUUCGGAUCGUAAAGAUCUUUUGUUAGAGAAGCGGUAACUAACCAGCACGGGUCGGCUAACUCCGUGCCAGGAGCCGCGGUAAUAC